rnacentral:rRNA from 1 species
UACGUAGGGUGCGAGCGUUGUCCGGAAUUAUUGGGCGUAAAGAGCUUGUAGGCGGUCUGUCGCGUCUGCUGUGAAAAUCCGGGGCUCAACCCCGGACUUGCAGUGGGUACGGGCAGACUAGAGUGCGGUAGGGGAAACUGGAAUUCCUGGUGUAGCGGUGAAAUGCGCAGAUAUCAGGAGGAACACCGGUGGCGAAGGCGGGUCUCUGGGCCGAUACUGACGCUGAGGAGCGAAAGCGUGGGGAGCGAACAGG